UACGUAGGGACCGAGCGUUGUCCGGAAUCAUUGGGCGAUAAAGAGCGUGUAGGCGGCCUGGUAAGUCCGCUGUGAAAGCCCAGGGCUCAACCCUGGGAGGCGGGUGGAUACUACGGAACUGGAGUACGGAAGAGGAGAUUGGAAUUCCUGGUGUAGCGGUGAAAUGCGCAGAUAAUCAGGAGGAACACCGGUGGCGAAGGCGGGUCUCUGGGCAGUAACUGACGCUGAGGAGCGAAAGCGUGGGGAGCGAAACAGG
rnacentral:rRNA from 1 species